UCGCGCGGCAUGGUCGUCCUCCGGAGCACCAAAGGCGCAGAAAACAUAACUUGAGUUGUGCGGGAUUACGGGCGUGACUCUUUGCGCGUCCCUCCAUCCCCGGGUGUUGUAGCCGGCAUGCGGGGCCCUUCCCUCGUGGGGGGGCACCGUGCCACAACAUACCGCGAGUGUGCAGGAUGUGACCCGAAAGAUGGUGAACUAUGCCUGAUCAGGUUGAAGUCAGGGGAAACCCUGAUGGAGGACCGAAGCAGUUCUGACGUGCAAAUCGAUUGUCAGAAUUGGGCAUAGGGGCGAAAGACCAAUCGAACCAUCUAGUAGCUGUUUUCCUUCCGAAA
rnacentral:rRNA from 1 species